UACAGAGGUCCCAAGCGUUGUUCGGAUUCACUGGGCGUAAAGGGUGCGUAGGCGGUGAGGUAAGUCUGACGUGAAAUCUCCGGGCCUGACCCGGAAACUGCGUUGGAUACUAUCUCGCUAGAGGAAUGGAGGGGAGACUGGAAUACUUGGUGUAGCAGUGAAAUGCGUAGAUAUCAAGUGGAACACCAGUGGCGAAGGCGAGUCUCUGGACAUUUCCUGACGCUGAGGCACGAAAGCCAGGGGAGCAAACGGG
rnacentral:rRNA from 1 species